GAAGAGGGAGAGGAUGCAGAGGUGGAGCAAAACAAAGAAAAGCAGAGCAGAAGCCCAUCGCCUGGGGAAACUGCAAGUUCUAAGGGGUCUCAUAAGCUGUGGAAGGUGGUAGCAUAGUGGUAGAUCUGUCCAAUCUUGGUGCAAAGCAUGUAAUCAUAUUUGUUGUGUUUUCAUUGCUGGGGCAUAUUUGGGAGGAGAUUUACCUCAACACCAUGGUGUUAUCACAAUGCUGCUCUCUUAUUAGUGAAAGAAAAAACAUAGGUUCUCUCCACGGAACACUGCAGAAGCAUGAUGGGUAAUUCGUUUGACAAGCUGGCAGGGCCAAGAUACCUGGCUUAUGACUACAUCAUUUACAAUAAAGUACCUGCUGUACAGCUGCCAAGCUUGCCAUGAGUGUGCAAACAUUUGGAAUUCAGACCACAAGAAUGCUGUCUGAGUCUUCAGGCACCCGGUCAUCUGGGUCCAGGUUGAUGCUGCAGCAUGUCUUCUAACCCGCCUACCACCAGAGGGCAGCAGCGUACAUUCACAACAAUUGUUGAGAAGUCAGGAAGCCCAGGAAUCUUAUGUGUGGAAGAGGACAUAGCAAAAGAAGAAGAAUUCCAUACCACCUGCGUUCAUGCCUGCCAUGCCCUGGGUUUGGGCCCCAAUCUGAACCAUCUCCUGCACAUAACCAUGCAAUCAUAAUGAGGAAUCUUGAGAUCUGUGACAAUCUCUCUCUUCUCCCCAGCCCACAGCUCCAUUAUACCCCACUCUAAUCACUAAGGAUCACUCAAGAUACUUCACUGUCUUCCGUUUUUCCAAAGUCCCUAAGUCACUUUAAGACUUUCUAUGUCCUCUGUAAACAGUCACAUACUCAUGUCUGAGGCUAGGUACACAUGCGGAGAUAAGAGUGUAAGAGACAAGAAUGAAGGAGAGAAAAGUGAGGAAGGAAAAAUAAAGAGCUAUUUAUGUGGUAGGUCUGUGUUCCCCAAACACCAUGGGAUGAUCCAAGGAUAUCCAACAUAAGGUGUGACUUCUUCAAAAUAGCCUUGAGUGAGCAGCUUAGCCCAGAGAAGACCUAAGGAUCCAAAGCGUUGCUGCAUAUUACUACUGUGUGCAAAGAGGCCAGGAAGCUAUCCCAGGAAAUUUCAUCACAUCCCUCAAUGGCAGAUGCAUUCUACUGAGAAGAGAGCAACAGUUUCACUUGGUAAAUAUUGCUGUCACAUGAUGUCAAUGUAUAUGCAUCUCCUAUGAGAUUAACUCAUCUGGAGCCCUGCCUGCCGCAGGAGCCAGCACUUGUCCAAGCUGCCACAGGUCAACCUGGUCCUUGGUUUUCCUAAAGACUCCUUAGUCUGAGGGAAUUUACUUUCCCAUACUUAUGAGACCCAAAUAACCCAUUUCCCAAAUCUAGGCAGGAAAACCAAAUGGAAAUAUUUGGGGCAUCUAUGAGAAAAUUCUCCUUCAGGUCAGCAUCACUCUGUGAAGGCCAAGCUACCCUAACCUCAAGUCUACACCAAUGGUACUGAAUUUUUAAUAAAAAUUUCUCAGGAGAAAUUUCUUUUACUAUGACUGGCCUUUUUGCUUAAUCUCAAAACCAGAGUUAAUAAUAUACUCUGAGGUCACUUCAGAUGUAGAACAAUGCCUACUGUAUGCAUUUCUUUUGUAUAACCUCUCUUUAAGGGACUAAUGGAACAACCAACCUUACUUGCCUUGAGUUUUAAGUAACCAAUCAUUAUAAUCUGAUGUAAGGCAUAGCUGUUAUUUUAAAAUAUGUUUUUCAAUGCUUCUGACCCAGAGUGUAAUGAAUGUGUAUCUAUGUAAGUGUUACAAUGAUCACAUUUGGAAAAUGGUAAAUAGGAUCAAAGCUGUUUUUAAAAAUGAAUACCCACCACAA
rnacentral:lncRNA from 1 species